rnacentral:rRNA from 1 species
AGUGAACGCUGGCGGUAGGCCUAACACAUGCAAGUCGAACGGCCGCACCGUAAGAGCUUGCUCUUACGUGUGGCGAGUGUCGGACGGGUGAGGAAUACAUCGGAAUAUACUUUUUCGUGGGUGAUAACGUGGGGAAACUUACGCUAAUACCGCAUACGACCUACUGGUGAAAGCAGGGGACCUUCGGACCUUGCGCGAUUGAUUGAGCCAAUGUCGGCUGAGCUAGUUGGCGGGGUAAAGGCCUACCAAGGCGACGAUCCGUAGGUGGUCUGAGAGCAUCGUCCGCCAGACUGGAACUGAGACACGGCCCCGACUCCUACGGGAGGCAGCAGCGGGGAAUAUUGGACAAUGGGCGAAAGCCGGAUCCAGCCAUACCGCGUAGGUGAAGACGGACUUCGGGUUGGAGAGCCCUUUUGUUCGGAAAGAAAAGCAGCAGUUUAAUCCCCCGCUGUUCUGACGGUACCCAAAGAAUAAGCCCCGGCUAACUUCGUG